rnacentral:tRNA from 1 species
GUGUAGAAAGCGAGAAAUUUGCAUUUGGCUUCGGACCAAAUCUUAGGGGUGUAAGUCCCUUUCUGUACU